rnacentral:rRNA from 1 species
UGGGGAAUCUUCCGCAAUGGGGCGCAAGCCUGACGGAGCAACGCCGCGUGAGUGAAGAAGGGUUUCGACUCGUAAAGCUCUGUUGUCGGGGACGAAUGUGGAGGUUGUGAAUAACAGCUUCCAAUGACGGUAUCUGACGAGGAAGCCACGGCUAACUACGUGCCAGCAGCCGCGGUAAUACGUAGGUGGCGAGCGUUGUCCGGAUUUACUGGGUGUAAAGGGCGCGUAGGCGGGGCAGCAAGUCAGUCGUGAAAUGCCGGGGCUUAACUCCGGAGCUGCGAUUGAAACUGUUGUUCUUGAGUGUCGGAGAGGAAAGCGGAAUUCCUAGUGUAGCGGUGAAAUGCGUAGAUAUUAGGAGGAACACCAGUGGCGAAGGCGGCUUUCUGGACGAUAACUGACGCUGAGGCG